rnacentral:lncRNA from 1 species
UUCAAAAUCAAGAUCUCCUUAAAGAUUGAGAAGUUGAUGAUAUGAUUUUCUUGAUUCAGCUUCUUGAUUUUGUUGUGCUUUCUAUGGGUCUUGUAGAGUUUUGUUCUUCGAAUCUUCAGGUAUUUUUACGCACAAGUCCUUCUUUACCUUUUUAACAUGUAAACAUCCAUUGACAGCAUGUUUUCAGCAAAUGCUUUUGGAAGAUUCUCACUCCCUCUAAGGUAAGUUUUUGUUUGAACUGCAGUUUUGAACAGGUUAAGUACUAAUGAUUUGCUUCAAGCUCGUAGGUUGAGUCAUGCUUUGUCUCCUAGGGUGUGUCUGUGAUGUGUCACAAAGCAGCUGAAUUUCAUAAUAAUCUGUUUCUGCAUUUUGACAUGUAUUACUUUUGGGGAUCUGUUGCGCUACUCUUCAUCUUGAGGGUUUCCUUCCUCUGCUCUUUCUGGUGUUGGUACGAGCAUAGGGGUUAAAAUUUUGUAGUGCAGGG